rnacentral:rRNA from 1 species
GGGCCCGCACAAGCGGUGGAGCAUGUGGUUUAAUUCGAAGCAACGCGAAGAACCUUACCAGGUCUUGACAUACUCGUGCUAUUCCUAGAGAUAGGAAGUUCCUUCGGGACACGGGAUACAGGUGGUGCAUGGUUGUCGUCAGCUCGUGUCGUGAGAUGUUGGGUUAAGUCCCCGCAACGAGCGCAACCCUUAUUGUUAGUUGCCAUCAUUCAGUUGGGCACUCUAGCAAGACUGCCGGUGACAAACCGGAGGAAGGUGGGG